rnacentral:rRNA from 1 species
UCCUGGCUCAGAACGAACGGCUGGCGGCAGGCUUAACACAUGCAAGUUGAACGGGAUUGCUUAGUGCUUGCACUGAGCGAUGAGAGUAGCGCACUGGUGAGUAACACGUGGGAACAUGCCUUUUGGUGGGGGACAACAGGAGGAAACUUCUGCUAAUACCGCAUAAGCCCUAAGGGGGAAAGAUAUAUUGCCGAAAGAUUGGCCCGCGGAAGAUUAGGUAGUUGGUGGGGUAAAGGCCCACCAAGCCGACGAUCUAUAGCUGGUCUGAGAGGACGAACAGCCACAUUGGAACUGAGACACGGUCCAGACUCCUACGGGAGGCAGCAGUGAGGAAUAUUGGGCAAUGGAGGAAACUCUGACCCAAGCCAUGCCGCGUGAGUGAAGAAGGUUUUCGAAUUGUAAAGCUCUUUCGGAUGUGACGAUGAUGACGGUAACAUCUAAAGAAGCCCCGGCAAACUUCGUGCCAGCAGCGGC